rnacentral:tRNA from 1 species
GAGGCUUUAUCUUAAUCAAAGUGUCUGAGUUGCAUUCAGAAGAUGUGGGUUAGUGUCCCAUAAGUCUUA